GUAAAUACACAUGUCUGUCCCCGGGAGAGCUUCCCCUUUGCCUGAGUGUGAGGGAGACGAGGGGCAGGGAAGUAAUGCCCUGGGACCAGCCCUCGGUGGAUGACAAAGGAGAUCUGGAGGAUGAACACCCCAGCUUCCCAGACGGUCAGGUGGGAUAGCCUUGAGUGCUCCACGGCAGCUCCCAGAGUCUCCUACCUGAGCUCAAGCCCAGCCUCUCACAGUGGUAAUGUGCUCGAAAAGGUUUAAGUCCUAUUCUCCUUCAUUCCCAUUGAUUAUGGGUGUGGCUGAACCACUCAGAAAUUCAUCACCGGUAACCAACUUUUAGAGGCCACCUGCAUUUCUUGGCCCAUGGCCCCUUCCUCUGUCUUCAAAGCCAGCAAUGUUGCAUCUCUACCAUUCCUCUGUAGCCAUCUCUCUCUCCGACCACAGCCAGGAAAGGUUUUCUACUUCUAAGAACUCAUGUGAUUAGACUGGGCCCACGUGGAUAAUCCAGGCAUAUCGCCCUAUUUCAAGAUCCUUAAUCUUCAUCAUAUGAAGUCCCUUUUCCUAGGGAAGGAAUCAAGGUGCAUACAGAAGGGGACUCACAUGCAUGCACAGGAGAUAUGUACAAGGAUGGUAACCGUAGCAUUAUCUGUGAGAGAGAAACACUGGAAAUAACCCAAGUGCCUAUCAACUGGAGAGUAGAUGAAUAAAUCAUGCUGUAGGCAUUCAAUGGACUUCUAUUUGGCAGAUAAUGAAUAAACUAGAUCUGUGUGUAUCUCAAUAUGUGCAAAAGCAAUAUUGAAUGAAAAUAAAGCAUGUUGCAGCAUGAAAGCAGUUAU